GCCUGGGUGGCUCAGUGGUUGAGCAUCUGCUUUCAGCUCAGAUCAUCCCGGGAUCGAGUCCCACAUCGGGCU
rnacentral:tRNA from 1 species